rnacentral:tmRNA from 1 species
GGGGCUGCUUUGGUUUCGACAUUCAAAAUUAUGAAAAGUAUGAUACAGGUCGAAGUUUGUAAUCUUCGUAAAAUAUUACAAAAUUUAACUAAAUGCUAAAAAUAUAAUUCCUUUUAAAUCUCAGGCUGCAAGAAAUAAUCUUAGUAGAAGUUUCUCGGUAGCUUAAUUUAAUUAUAAUUUUUUCUAGUUAAUUAUUUAUUAUUCACUAAUAACAUAAUUUUUAGUUUAGAAUGUAUUAUACAUUACAAUGUUCAAUUUUUGAACUAUACCUGUGAACGAGUUCUUUCUCAUAAAUUGAAUGGACAUGGGUUCAAAUCCCAUCAGCUCCA